UUGCGCUUAAUAAACCACGGAGGAAGGAAAGGAAAUAAACUAACCAAGCUACCCCAACGAACAUCAGUUAUACUAAACGAGCACGAGACGCUAGAGCGCAUAUUACCCAUAAUUGUGGCUUUGUGCUUGGAUUUCAUUACUUCACUGAUGGCGCCAGCUAGCGCACUUCCGCGCCAGUGUAUUGGUGAUCUGUGCUUCCGCGCGUCCUCAAAUUCCGCCUUCGCAUCGUUCACAGAUUUGCUUUUGUGUCCGGCACUUGGUUUGGCUUUGCCUGGAGAAGAGCUUCACUAUCCUGGAUAGUCUCGUGGACAGCUGGCCUGGAUUCCUGAGCAGGGAUGGUGUCCACCCCAGCCGGCUUGGCAACAAGGUGCUGGCAGACUUCCUGCACUGGGAGGCCUGUGCCUUGUCCACCCACCUAGAGAGGAGACGCAUCCAACAGUCCUACAAGGAGUCCAAGGCAUCUGCACGGAGUGGGUGGGCUCGGCAGGAGUACUUUGCCAUCAACUUGGAAGUCGAUUUUCCUGCACUUGGUCCAGUACAUUGUGGACUCACCCUGUUGUCAAGUCGUCAGGAAGUUGGAUGAUGCUGUCUUCUUCCAGCUAAAUUAUGCAACUACUGAGAAGGGGAUCAGAAUUCUAUUUUGUAGCAGUUAUUUUACAAAUAAAUGUUAGUAAAAUUUUU